AUACUUACCUGGCAUAGGGGUUACCGUGAUCAGCAAGGCGGUUCCCCCAGGGCGAGGCCUGUCCAUUGCACUCUGGGACGGGUUGACCCCUGCGAUUAUCCCUCAUGUGGAUAACUCGUAUGCGCAAAUUUUUUGGAGCCGGGAAGUGCGUCCGCGCACAUCCCGA
rnacentral:snRNA from 1 species